GGACUACUAGGGUUUCUAAUCCCGUUUGCUCCCCUGGCCUUCGUGUCUCAGCGUCAGAAAAUGUCCAGAGUCCUGCCUUCGCACUUGGUAUUCCUCACGAUAUCUACGCAUUUCACUGCUACACCGUGAAUUCUAGACUCCUCUCCAAUUCUCCAGCAUGCCAGUAUCGGAUGCAGUUCCGGGGUUGAGCCCCGGGCUUUCACAUCUGACUUAACACGCAGCCUGCACACCCUUUACGCCCAGUGAUUCCGAACAACGCUUGAGACCUCUGUAUUACCGCGGCUGCUGGCAC
rnacentral:rRNA from 1 species